CACGUAGGGGGCAAGCGUUGUCCGGAUUUAUUGGGCGUAAAGAGCUCGUAGGUGGCUGAGUAAGUCGGAUGUUAAAUCCCCAGGCUCAACCUGGGACACCACCCUGUACUGCUCUAGCUAGAGUCCGGUAGGGGAGCAUGGAAUUCCUGGUGUAGCGGUGAAAUGCGCAGAUAUCAGGAGGAACACCAGCGGCGAAGGCGGUGCUCUGGGCCGGAACUGACACUGAGGAGCGAAAGCAUGGGGAGCGAACAGG
rnacentral:rRNA from 1 species